rnacentral:tRNA from 1 species
GGGCCGCUAGCUUAGCUAGGUAGAGCGCCGGGCUCUUAACCCGGUGGUCGUGGGUUCGAAUCCCACGCGGCCCGCCA